UGGGGAAUAUUGCACAAUGGGCGCAAGCCUGAUGCAGCCAUGCCGCGUGUAUGAAGAAGGCCUUCGGGUUGUAAAGUACUUUCAGCGGGGAGGAAGGGAGUAAAGUUAAUACCUUUGCUCAUUGACGUUACCCGCAGAAGAAGCACCGGCUAACUCCGUGCCAGCAGCCGCGGUAAUACGGAGGGUGCAAGCGUUAAUCGGAAUUACUGGGCGUAAAGCGCACGCAGGCGGUUUGUUAAGUCAGAUGUGAAAUCCCCGGGCUCAACCUGGGAACUGCAUCUGAUACUGGCAAGCUUGAGUCUCGUAGAGGGGGGUAGAACUCCAGGUGUAGCGGUGAAAUGCGUAGAGAUCUGGAGGAAUACCGGUGGCGAAGGCGGCCCCCUGGACGAAGACUGACGCUCAGGUGCGAAAGCGUGGGGAGCAAACAGG
rnacentral:rRNA from 1 species